AGACUGAGGAGGCAGAACGGGAGCAGCAGGCAGGAGAGGCGCGCGCUGCGCUCACCACACACCAACGGGGUGAAUGUAUGUCAUGGUUGUGUAUAUGUUGCUAUGCAAUGCGUCUUUUGGACAGCCUGACGUCAAAGUCCCGCGCCCAGACGUUUGACGGGCAGACGGGAAGCGGCGCCGGGGAUGUCUGUUCACUGGUGCUAUAUAUUUGAUCCUUGGGGUAACUGUGCAGUCUCUUCAGAAUUCUACAGAAAGCAGUUCGAUAAUGGAGAAAAAAAUCCCCAUCGGUGAUACUAUCUACUUGCUCUCUGUAAUCACAAAAGCUAAGUUAGACAUUGACAUAGUUAAUGUAACAUUAAUUAUUUGAAAAA